rnacentral:tRNA from 1 species
CCUCUGGUAGCUAAGUUGGUAGAGCGGUGGACUGUAGAUCCAUAGGUCGCUGGUUCAAAUCCGGCCCAGAGGA